UACGAAGGGGGCUAGCGUUGUUCGGAAUCACUGGGCGUAAAGGGCGCGUAGGCGGCUUUAUAAGUCGGGGGUGAAAGCCUGUGGCUCAACCACAGAAUUGCCUUCGAUACUGUAGAGCUUGAGACCGGAAGAGGUAAGUGGAACUGCGAGUGUAGAGGUGAAAUUCGUAGAUAUUCGCAAGAACACCAGUGGCGAAGGCGGCUUACUGGUCCGGUUCUGGACGCUGAGGCGCGAAAGCGUGGGGAGCGAACAGG
rnacentral:rRNA from 1 species